UUAUUUUGGUCGUUCAGUCAGCAAAUCGGUUUUAGGACGGGUCAAAGAUUUGAUUGUUUGCAAACUGUCUUAAUGGAUUGCUGCAGAAACAUUUGAAAAAAAAUAAGAAAUUUGAAAAGCAAGAAAUUGCUGUAAAUAGGGCACAAGCCCUGUACGUGGAUUAGAUGGUCGAUAUGCCAAAAACUACAGAUGGUUUCUAAGCAGAUUUCUCAGCUUUCCUUGGAGGCAUAUUGUAGCUUGCUAAAUUGUUAAGCAAAACCACGUGGGCCACAGGAAGGAAUGCCUCCAGUCAGCUGUGGGGUUUCGUGAAGUGUGUGCAUGAAGCAGAAGUUUUCAGAGAAAAUGGUGAAACGUCCUUGAAAGUGCCUCAGCUGGGAGAGGAUCAGAAAAAAAUAUUGGGUUUUAUCAUUUUGAAAGAAGUACAAUAUCUCCUUGUAUAGAACCUGCAUUAAAUAAAUGAGCAUCAACAUCUCCAGUAGGCACCCCAGGUGUAGACUCCACCUCUCCUACCUCUUCCAGAUAUUCGAACACCAUUAUUGAUAGCAUUUUUGUUUUGAUAAGGUUUCUCCUGGCCCACAAUCAUUCCAGUGAAUGGUGCAUACACAGUAGAUCCAGCAGAGCACAAGACGUCCACACCCUGGUGAGGCCUCUGACUUCUAGAAUGCAAGUAAGAAUGAACAGACUGAGGAACUGCCUUAGGGGAGCUUUACUGCCUGGGAA
rnacentral:sRNA from 1 species